rnacentral:rRNA from 1 species
UACGGAGGCUCCAAGCGUUAUCCGGAUUCACUGGGUUUAAAGGGUGCGUAGGUGGAAUGACAAGUCAGUGGUGAAAACCUGCAGCUUAACUGUAGAACUGCCAUUGAUACUGUUAUUCUUGAGUACAUUUGAUGUGAGUGGAAUGUGUCGUGUAGCGGUGAAAUGCUUAGAUAUGACACAGAACACCAAUUGCGAAGGCAGCUCACAAAACUGUAACUGACACUGAGGCACGAAAGCGUGGGGAUCAAACAGG